CGUGUAGGCGGCUUUGCAAGUCGGGUGUGAAAUCCCUCAGCUUAACUGAGGAAGUGCGCCCGAAACUGCAGAGCUUGAGUACCGGAGAGGGUGGCGGAAUUCCCCAAGUAGAGGUGAAAUUCGUAGAUAUGGGGAGGAACACCGGUGGCGAAGGCGGCCACCUGGACGGAUACUGACGCUGAGACGCGAAAGCGUGGGGAGCAAACA
rnacentral:rRNA from 1 species